rnacentral:rRNA from 1 species
AACGGGGGGGGGCCAGCGUUAUUCGGAUUACUAGGCGUAAAGGGUGAGUAGAUGUUUUCUUUAGAACUUCUAUGAAAGGCUAGGUCGCAAUCUUAGUUUGUAGCAGUUACUUUGAAAAUUGAGUUAUGAACGAGUUAUUAGAAUUUCUGAUGUAGGGGUUAAAUCCGGCAAUCUCAGAAGGAAUACUCAUGGUGAAGACAAUUAUCUAGUUUAUAACUGACGUUGAGGUACGGAGGUAUGGGGAUCAAACAGG